rnacentral:rRNA from 1 species
AUGGCCAACAACGAUGAGGCCGGGGGUUCGGGCGGCAAGGCAUUCUGGGAGCUGUCCCAGGAGAUGGCGGAACAACCUCACUUGUACGAGGACGCCGCCUUCCCCACCGAUCCUGAGAGCACUGAUGGUACCGUCGAGGAUGACCCCACUGAUGCCACCACUGAUGGUGCCGCCGAGGAUGCCACCACUGAUGAUGGCGGUGCACGCACAGAUGGCAGCCAACCGAAGAGGCAACGGAAGGACCGGCGCCCGACCGUGCUCCGCACCCUCAAGGAGGAAGUUACUGAAGUGGACUCCGACGGGAAUCCAACGGCGCCCGAACGAAUAGUCAAGGGGUACUCGCUUCAGCUCGGGUGCAUUCUCCGGAGCACUGUCUCGAUCAACACCGAGAACCUGAGGCAUCCUGACCGAGGGAAUUUGCGCAACCUCCUCUUCACGAAGCUGCACGAACGAUACAAGUUCCCCGCUGAAUUUGAAAACACAAGCCUCAAAGGGAAUAAAGUGAACAAUGCUGCCCUCACAAAGAUGAGCAAGGCCCUGUCUACAUGGAAAAGCAAUGUGAAGAGAAUGAUCGAGAAAGGUGAGAGUUAUGAGAAGAUCAAGGAGAAAAAUCCUUCGAUCACCGAAGAUGACUAG